GUUCUUGUUGGAGGUAUGUUUCUGUUGUUGUUGUGCUUUAUCCAAUAGUUUCAAAGGAGAGAGAAAAUCAUCCACCUUCACAGACAGAAUGAUUGGACUAUAUACAUAAGAGAGAAUGGAAAAGAGCCUUGUUUCACAAUUAUUUUAAAAGUCGCUGUAUGGAGCUAUGGAUUCAUUACAGUUAGAUCUUCAGCAAUUGUCAGGUGAGCAAUGUGUCUUCUUUUCUUGAGUUUCCGAGUUUCCUGAGGAGUUUGGGAACAGCCGUUGAUAUAAGAGAAGGCAAUUAAAAUUGAGAGAAAAUCUAUAACCCAAUAAAAAUAAAUGGCUGAUGUGAAUUUAUAGAGAUAUUGAAAUAUGUGAGAUGUGGGGAAUUAUUUUGAUUGGUCUAUCAUGUGCAGGCUGAGGAUUAUUUGAGAGGACAUCCUUUUAACAAGACAGGUCAGUUUCUUUUCUUCUUUAAAUGUAAUGCAUUGUUUCCUCCAUAAUUGUGGGUUAUUGCAUUGUUGUUGUGGGAGGGAUGUUUCUAUUGUUGUUGUGCUUUAUCCAAUAGUUUCAAGGAGAGAGGAGAUCAUCUACCUUCACAGACAGAACAAUUGGACUAUAUACAUAAGAGAGGAUGGAAAAGAGCCUUGUUAGCUAGUUUGCUGCUUCACAGUUAUUUUAAAAGUCUCUGUAUGCUGUAUGGAUAAAUGGAUUACAUACUGGUGGAUCUUCAGUAAUGUGAGGUGAGCAAUGUGUCCUCUUUUCUUGAGUUUCAGAGUCUCCUGAGGAGUUUGGGAACAGCCGUUGAUAUAAGAGAAGGCAAUUAAAAUUGAGAGAGAAUCCAUAACCCAAUAAAAGAUAAAUGGCUGAUGUGAAUUUAUAGAGAUAUGUGAGAUGUGGGGAAUUAUUUUCAUUGGUCUAUCAUGCACAGGCUGAGGAUUAUUUGAGAGAACAUCCUUUUAACAAGACAGGUCUGUUUCUUUUUUUCUUCAAAUGUAAUGCAUUGUUUCCUUCAAAUGUAAUGCAUUGUUUCCUUCAUAAGUGAGGGUUAUUGCAUUUUUGUUGUGGGAGGGAUGUUUCUGUUGUUGUUGUGCUUUAUCCAAUAGUUUCAAAGGAGAGAGAACAUCAUCUACCUUCACAGACAGAAUGAUUGGACUAUAUACAUAAGAGAGAAUG